rnacentral:rRNA from 1 species
GUCUGCAGCCAUACCACCCUGAACACACCUAAUCUCCUCUGAUCUCCGAAGCUAAGCAGGGUUGGGCCUGGUUAGGACUUGAAUGGGAGAAAUACUCAACUUGUUGAUGUAAUUG